GACCAAAAGAGAAAUGCUUCAUAGCCAGCGAAUAUCUGCAUGCAGCGGAGUCACGCGGGCCAACAGACAGAUGGACAGACAAGCAGACAGACAAACAGACAGACGAAUGGACAAAUCAACAGAUAGUCAAGUGAGUGUGGCAAGCCGAGUGACAGCCAAGAAAUGGCAGUGGCAGCAACAGCAGCAGUCGCAGCUGGAAUGUGGCACAUUCACAUGAACAUAACGACCAUCAGCGGCAGCCCAGUGCGCACGAACGUAUGGACAUAUGAGCUUACGGACGGUCAACGACCAGCUGCGAGAUUUGCGUAAUCACAAUGAAUGCAAACGUGGCGUAAGCAACAACAACAACAGCCAUUGCAACCAAGUUAAAAGCCAUGUAUUAACGAGCCUAUGAAAGCGUUAAAGAUUGGCAGCCACAUGUGCGAGCACCAAUGAAGGCGCUCAUGAAAAUCAAUAAGGAUGACAAAAAUGCAAAAUUGUAAAGAACCUUGACAAUUUGUUGUUUUGCAACAAGAAGAACUUACAUUUGCCAAGCACAUGUUGACAUAGCGGCUACCCAUUGGCAUGCAUUGUUGUUGCGAUUUUUGUUUGCUGGAAAAUGCUCGGUGCUUGGGAAUGGUUUGACAAACGAAACAAUUAGUCACAUUUGGGAAGUCGUGAGGAAUUAACUGCAGGCUGCAGUUCUACAUUCAUUGGUCCAGCAUGAGGGAUUUAGUUUUUAAUUCAAUGUGAAUAAAGCAGAAAAGGAGCGUUAAAAUAUUUCUCAUUAAGUUUGGACUGACAUAACCAAAGAAACAUUUACUUAUUAUAUAUAUGUAUAUACCUACAAAUGAGUACUAGUGAAAAGCCGAGAAGCGGAAAUAAUAGGAUUUUAAGUAAAACGCGAAAAUUUAGAAAUAUUUUUCGUGUAAUUGUGAAAUGAAUAUUCUUUGUAAAUAUUCCGUUAAUAUUUGCGUAUAAAAAUAAUAGCCUGUUUAUAUAUUUGUUUAAAAAACUCAGGUGAUACACUCAAUGGCAUUUUUUUUAAUAGAGGCAAAUAACUUUAGUGGCUAAAAGUGCUGAUUUCCAUUAAGGAGUAACGCUUUCUAAGAUUUUUAUCGACAUAGAAAAGAGACACCAAAAAUAUUUUUAACUCGAAAUGGCUUUGAGGUGUUUACUUAGCAGAAGUAAUUAAAAAGUCCAAUCGGCUCGCAAAAUUUUAUUAUAAAUAAAUAUUAAAUAUUUAACAUAUUAGUAAUUAAAUAAAACAUAGAAAUUA